rnacentral:misc_RNA from 1 species
GCCAUGCGUAGGCCCAUCACUCUUUCCUUCUUCGAUCUCUCCAAAGCUCCUCACUUGCUGUACCUCUACGCCGGUGUCUACACAUAGAAAUGAAACCCUAGAUCUCCAAAAUUGAUAGAUUUGAAGCUCUGUCUCGAAGUACAUAGAAAUCCCAGGUAAUAACUCAGUAGUUUCUGUAAACUCUGUAAUUUCAUUCAUUAAUUUGGCUGAUAAGAGCACAAAAAGAAAUAAGCAUCUAGAUCUUGUGUGUGUGCGUCCUUCCUCUGUUUGGGUUCAAAAGAAUGAAGAAAAAGCCUAUCUUUAUUAGAAACAGUAGAAAUCUUUGACUUCAGAUGGACCUUAGUGAUUCUCUUUGCUAUUUGGUCUUUGUUAAUGGCUUCUGAGAAGAUUAAAGAAAGGAAAGAAAUAAAAUUUUGAUAUUGUGUUUUGUUGUUUUUCUUAACUGUGCAUGCACUUCUACAUAUUCAUGCACAUUGGUGUUUUGUGCUAUAGAAAUUUGAAGAAAGUAAGAAUUGAUUAGAGCUUUUGAUUAUUUGAUUCCAUAAGAGGAUUUUGAAGGGGGAAACAGAAACCUUGAGGAUUCAAAAGGAUAUAAUAGAUUGAGCAUUUUUUUAAACAUUUCUUCAAAAUGCAACAAUGUUGGGGGGUCUAGUAUUCAUAUCGUUGCUCAUUCAUGUUUUGUUGCUUGUGAGCAGUGUUGGGGCUGUGUUUGCUUUACUAGGAAGAUAGGAUUAAAAUGGAUGAUGAGUUCUGAAAUCUGAAAAUAUAUGAUUUCCAUCAUUAUCUCUUUCUUGAAAUUGGAAAUUUUGUUCUAGCUAAAUUGAUUGUUCAGGCUGAAUAACAGCUUACAAGUUCUUGUUAUUUUGAAUUAUCAACUAUGAAAAAAUCAAAUUUGCUCCUUUUUUUGUUUUCUUGUGAAAUCAUGCCAUAUAACCUUAUCCUGCAAUUGAUUUUAUUUUUAUUAAUUCUCUUUCCAUUUUUUGAAUACAUGUACUUGCCAUGUUUGAUUGAAAUCCAUGUAAGAAUGGGAAAAAGUAUGAAUCAAGGAUCAACUGAGCCUAAUAUAGUCUACUAGCUAAGUGUAGUGGUUCUUUAAAUUUUGUGGCAAUGUAAUGGAACUGCACUUUGUUCUAUGAUUGGUGCAACAUGACGGUCUUGAUUGAGAAGUCAUUUAUUUCCUUCUAGAUUGCCUUCUUUCAGAAUUUUCCCAAAUGGCUGAUAGCAAUGCGUCUUUUGGUUCCCCUGAAGAAACUGUCAACCCUAGUUCGGAUGGAAAUGCACCUUCUGAGAUUGAGAGUGACCUUGCACUUGAUACAUUAGCCAGAAAGGUUCAAGAAUCUCUUACUCUCGGAAAGAGACAUAAAUUUUGGGAAACUCAACCAGUUGGGCAAUUCAAGGAUAUUGGGGACACCAGUUUGCCUGAAGGCCCCAUUGAACCUCCAACACCUUUGUCUGAGGUAAAACAGGAACCCUACAACCUUCCCAACCUCUAUGAAUGGGUUACUUGUGAUAUUGACUCUGAUGAAAUGUGUACUGAGGUCUACAAUCUUCUGACUAAUAACUACGUUGAGGAUGAUGAGAAUAUGUUCAGAUUUAAGUAUUCAAAGGAGUUUCUUCGCUGGGCUCUUCGCCCUCCAGGCUACUUCAAGAGCUGGCACAUUGGGGUCCGUGUCAAAAGUUCAAAGAAGUUGGUUGCUUUUAUCACGGGUGUUCCUGCAAGAAUCCGAGUUCGUGAUGACAUUGUUAUCAUGGCAGAAAUAAAUUUCUUGUGUGUUCAUAAGAAGCUAAGAUCAAAAAGACUUGCUCCUGUCAUGAUCAAGGAGGUGACAAGGAGAGUUCACUUGGAGAACAUCUGGCAAGCAGCUUAUACUGCUGGAGUGGUUCUUCCAACACCAAUAUCCACUUGCCAAUAUUGGCAUAGAUCUUUGAAUCCAAAGAAGCUGAUUGAUGUUGGUUUUUCUAGGCUUGGUGCAAGGAUGACUAUGAGUCGAACAAUCAAGCUUUACAAGUUACCAGAGUCAACUGCUACCCCAGGAUUUAGAAAGAUGGAGUUCCAUGAUGUUCCUGCAAUUACUAGGCUAAUUAGGAAUUAUAUGAGCCAGUUUGCAGCUGCGCCUGAUUUUGAUGAAAAUGAUGUGGAGCAUUGGCUUCUGCCAAAAGAAGAUGUUGUGGACAGUUAUCUGGUUGAAAGUCCAGAGACUCAUGAGAUCACUGAUUUCUGCAGCUUUUACACGCUUCCUUCCUCCAUCCUUGGCAACCAGAAUUAUUCAGCUCUGAAGGCAGCAUAUUCUUAUUACAAUAUUUCAACUAAGACUCCUUUGCUCCAGUUGAUGAAUGAUGCUCUAAUUGUUGCAAAACGCAAAGACUAUGAUGUGUUUAAUGCACUAGAUGUCAUGCACAAUGAGUCUUUCUUGAAGGAUCUGAAAUUUGGGCCUGGCGAUGGGAAACUGCACUACUAUCUUUACAACUAUAGGAUUAGACAAACAUUGAAGCCUGCAGAACUUGGGCUUGUGCUCCUAUAGUCUGGACUCAGGAAUUUUGAUUGCUCCGCGGACCAAUUGAAGGUUCCUUUUUCUUUACAAUUUUGUUCUGGUAAACCUUGCUGAUUAGUUUGUUUGUAUGCUUGUAUUAACUGUGACAAUCUGAAUUUAGAUUGUAGGUUUCAUUGAGCUAUUUAAACAAACAAAUUUUUGUCAGUUUUAUUGUGAGAUUUAUAGGCAUUGUAACAAAUUGUCAGGACUGAGUCUGGAAUAUGCUUAUGUCACUUGCUGGGCUGCUUCAUUAUUUUUGUUUUUCUAUGCUUGUUUCUUCUGUUGUCUACUAUAAU